rnacentral:tRNA from 1 species
GCCCUGCUAACUCAGUAUAGUAUGAGACUCUUAAUCUCAGGGUCAUGGGUUCAUGCCCCACAUUGGGCA